UCACAAACCGUCACGUACUGCACUUGAACAAAGCAUAUGUGUCUGUUAGUGAACGCAAGAAUUUUAACCGUUGAAAUGAAUUGGCGGGCUUGAACAAAGCUUAUGUGUCCGGAUCUGUUUGUGAACGCAAGAUCGAAUUUUAAUCCUUGAAAUGAAUUGGCGGGAUGGAAAAGCCUUCUAUAUUAUGAGACUAUUGAUGUGGCAUUUUCUUCAUAUGGAAGGGACUGAUUAAUAUGUAUGGGAGAUAUGGAUUCUAGGAACAGAUGAACAACAGAAAAAGGAAUGAAUGAUUCAAAUGUGACCUUCCAUAACUCUACAAAUUAGAACUUGAAGACUCUUACAUCAAAUCGAUAUUUUGUACUGGACAAAGUGAUGUGGAAUAUACUUGAGAAACAUUGAACUUUCUACCUUUUCCUACUUUCAGUUACAUUCCACUUAGUAACAUUCCACGGGAUACUUUAAUGAAAGUGACAAAGAAUAUAUUGUGAUACAUUUUUAGGAGGAAAAAUUUAUUUUUGCCAAACUUGGUGAAAUUAAUUGUGUCGUAUAAUCUGGGAAAUAAAAAAGUUACAGAAUUUAA